AACUAGGGAACCAAUGUGCUGAGUUCUCCCGUUACGCGAUUGGUUCCGAGGUGGUCACGUGGUUUCGUGGACUCCAUGUUUGAUACCAACGUCCAUCUGAGUCCCAUUGACACAGAUAGUGCAGGGAAUAGUGGGACAUAAAUCACUGAAAAAAAAUGCCCUACUGUUGCGCGUUUGGCUGCAAAGAAAGACAGGGCAGGGGCAAAAGAUUUCACAAGUUCCCCCGUGAUCCAAAAAGGCGAAAAGUAUGGGAGCUGAAGGUGAAAAGAGCAAACUGGAGGGCAAAUGACUACUCAAUAUUGUGAGAGGACCACUUUGAGGAAGCAGCCUAUGAGACUGGCCGAGUUGAUGGCCUGAGGAGGCUCAGGUCGACUGCUGUCCCAACGCAGUUUGUCUUCACACCACGAAAGACCCCUGGCAGAACCACCAGGCGCAGUACGAGGACAGAAGAGGAACCGUGUGUUGGUGGACAGGAACGCGUACAAAUUGACCAUUCAUAUUGUUCUAAAUCCUGUCCCGCAUCCUUUGAAGUUCAAACAGCCUGUGAUUCCUGGAACCUGGCACCUGUACCGGAGUCCUACGAGCUCUGCUGCCAGAAUUCACCCCUGUGUCAGCAAAAUAUCCAGAGAUUUUCAAAUGCGUCAGGGAUAUUGCUGCCUUCCUCUCAGACAUCACUGGACAGGACAUCACUCGUGCAGAGUUGUGGGUCUCCUCCGCUGUUCACGCAGGUUCAGGGCCUCACCAAAAAUACCACAUCACAUGUAAGAGAUGCAGAAGCAGCUGUGAAUUUAAAGUCUUAAAGAAAAAAACUCUUAAACCAGUGUUUCUCAAAUAUUUCUCAAAUACCCCUAAGGGUACUUUGGAGUACUGUCCGGUGUGACAUUUUGUUUUUUAGGCCACAGGCAGGCAGGAUAUUCAACCUGCAACCACUGUACAUGGGGCGCACACUCUGCCGGGUGAGCUACCCAGGCACCCCCGGUAUGACAUAUUCUCAUGCAUAUAUUAAAUGAUUAUACUAUAAUGCAUUUAGUGAUGAUUCUAAACCUUUUGAAAUGUAGGUUGGCCUAGCAAGUGUUUUUCAGUGUCAAGUCGUUUUUAUUUCCAUAGCAAGUUUAAAAUGACAGAAGUUGACCCAAAGUGCUUUCUAGUCGAGGCAGAUGGUUUAAGAUCUGCCUUAAUACAGAUAAACAUCGUAGAGAUGACGAUACAAAAUGUAUUGCAAAUCAACUGUGCGACCAAAGUCAAUGGAUUAAAAGUCAAUAGAUUAAAAAGCAGCGUAGGGAAUUAGAAAUAAUACUCAAAUAGUCAAGAGAGGACUUAAGAAAAGCCGAGCAGCCACGAAAUAAACUAAAAGCGAGUGAAAAAGGCGGGGUCUUUGAUUUUGAUUUCAAACUUUCAAUUGUGGAACAA